rnacentral:rRNA from 1 species
ACUGGGCGUAAAGCGCGCGUAGGCGGAUUAGUCAGUUUAGAGGUGAAAUCCCAGGGCUCGAACCCUGGAACUGCCUUUAAUACUGCUAAGUCUUGAGUUCGAGAGAGGUGAGUGGGAAGUUACCGUAGUGUAGAGGUGAAAUUACGUAGAUAUUCGGAGGAACACCAGGUAGGCGAAGGCGGCUCGACCUCGGCUCGAUACUGACGCUGAGGUGCGAAAGUGUGGGGAGCAAACAGGAUUAGAUACCCUGGUAG